GGGGGAAUGAGCAUGAGCAUCAUAUCAGAACAAGCCCAGCAUUUCCUGUUGAGGACAACCAUGAGAAUGCUUCCACCCAGGUCAUAACCUCUGAAGAUGGCUGGAAGACUAACAAUGUCAUUAUAUUCCUAACCACUGGGCAUAACAGGUUAGUCUGAUUAUGUGGCUUUCCAAACAGGAGGUGAACAACAAUGGAACAGACUCCCUUAGGACAGAGAGACAAUUUAAGCCGACUUGGGCUAUAAAUAGAGUGUUUCACUUUGUUUUCAUAUAUUUUAGAGUAGUGGACUAGCCUACUUUAUAAAUCCAGUGAACAAUUAAUUGUAAUACUAUCAACAGCGUGUAACUGCUAUUAGUUUUUGUGUAUACGAGAACAAAAAAAGUGAUAGAGAAAGUGAAGAGAGAGCAUAUGAAGGCUGUUUAGAAACUAAUAAUGAAAGUAAUUCAUACCAGAAAAGCAAGGGUGGGGAUCCAGUGAAGCGGAAUAGCUGUCCAUUAUUUACUGACAGAAAGGGAAAGCUGACGUUUAAAGAGCACGCGCAAUAUAUUAUUACUAUGGUAGUUUUUAGUAGAAUAACCAUUAAAACGCGAACAUUUUUCUCACGACUCUUUGCAGCUUGCUUUAAAUGUCUAAUAUUACAUACGAUAUGCAUUUUUAUAGCAUUUCCUUCUUUAAACCAGAUUGUAAUGACUUGGAUUUGUUCUCGAUGGCCACUAGGGGACGUACAAUCCUUUCCUUUGUCAAUGAUAACACAACCAGCUAUAAUGACUAGGAUCUGCUGGCUUUUUGUAUUUUCUGCUCUUAUUUUGAAAGAUGUACGACAACAUUCAUUACAGUAAGUAAGUAAAAGCAAAAGUAAACGAGUUAAAUAAUUAAUAAACAAAAAUGUAUCAAAAAACAACAUAAAAUAAUUAAUAAAAAAAAAAUGAAUAAAAAUAACAACAAAGCAGUUGAGUGGAAUCAGCACGUGAAAUUAGGAAUGAAAAUGUCACAGGUUUAUUUUGGUAAAGAUUAUAAUAUAUUUCCGACCAUGAAUAUUAGUUGUAAACAUCAAGUAUUGAAAUCAGAAAUCACUGGGACUUAACAGAAUGAUUUUUUUUAUUAUUAUAGUGGUUCAUGUAUUUUUCAUCAAACUUUUGAAUUGCCAAAGAUGACAAAAAAAAAAAGACAGUUUCACAUUGAUCUUGAGACGGCACUUGUUGUUUUAAGCUGGCUCAUUCUUAUUGGUUUUGUUUUCAUAUUUCAUGCGAGAUUAAUCUUAUUUUCAAAUAAAAGUUUUUGUUAAUGUAAAAUAUUUGCGUGUACUGUGUACAUUUAUAAUGUAUAUAUAAAUACAGACACAUACAGUAUACAUUUAUAUAAAAAUAUAAUAUAAAAUUUCUUAAAGGUAUACAUGCAUGUGUGUGUGUGUGUAUUUAUAUAUACAUAAUACAUUUACAAAAGAAACACACAUGUAAACAAAAACUUUUAUUUUGGAUGCCACAUUGUGACCUGUUCUAGCCGAGGCCUCAAUGUACGGUGCUCUCAUUUCACUUGCAAACUAUUCCACCUCCUCUUGACUCACUUCCCGCUCUUUUCUGUCACACUUGUGUCCCACAAGUACAAAGAGGACAGUGUAGGGAUUCACUCGAUUACACACCUCUGUGUACUGACGCUCAAUGACUCUGAAAGACUCACGAUUGCCCAGGUCAAACACCAGCAGGCAUCCAGCUCAAUGAGCAAUGUGAAGCUGAACAAGCUGACGGUUCCUGCAAACAUACGUUUGUGAGUCUGAACAACCAGUGUGCUAAUCAAGGUCAGUGUAUAUUCUAUACAUAAAAUAUUCAGGUUGUUACAAUGAAUGAAAUAUUCAUAAAAUGAAUAUUCAUAAAAUAUUCAGGUGGAUACAUUUCAGUUACAUACAGAGUUAAAGACAGUUCUUUAAGUUUUACAUUUAAGAUCUGUACCUGUUGGUUUCCAUAGAAAGAUUUCCAAUUUGAAUGUGGUAGGAGUCAGACGAUCCAGUGUUGAUGCGAUUUGUGUUAUCUUACAUGUUCAUAUAAAGCAGAAGUGGAGUUAUGUAACAGGCAAGGUUUACUAAAAAAAAAAAAAAA